UACAGAGGGGGCAAGCGUUGUUCGGAAUUACUGGGCGUAAAGGGCGCGUAGGCGGCCUGUUAAGUCGGACGUGAAAUCCCCGGGCUCAACCCGGGAACUGCGUCCGAUACUGGCAGGCUUGAAUCCGGGAGAGGGAUGUGGAAUUCCAGGUGUAGCGGUGAAAUGCGUAGAUAUCGAGAGGAACACCGGUGGCGAAGGCGGCCAACUGGACGAGUACUGACGCUGAGACACGAAAGCGUGGGGAGCAAACAGG
rnacentral:rRNA from 1 species